ensembl:lncRNA
CUUAAAGAAGGAUCAGGCAGUUGCCAUUUGGGGACCUGGAGGGCCUUGCAGCCAAAGGAUGGCUUCACUCCAUGUUGCUGAUGCAGAGUCUCGUGGUCUGACAGGCAGCCAGACGUAGAAGUGGGGGCCUUAGUGUCUGCCUCCAUUGGCCCAAAAGGCUCGUGCUGUCAUUCCCAAGUCAUUUUGGCUUCUAUGGUGUCAACAGAGGGACAGGAAGGAAUACGACAGCUGGCCAAAGCUCCACUAAUUUUAACUGCUCAAGUAUUUGAACAGCGGUGGUAUUGAGUGCCCAAGUGCAUGCCCAAAGUAACCUUUAACCUUUAGUCCCGAGCACGGCCAUACCCUCUCCACUGACCAGGCGACCCCCCCUCCACUGGGCAGAGGCCAGCAUGGGACCUCCACCCCUGCUUACCUGGGCGGCAAGUGUCCAAGUGGAUCUCCUGCGGUCCUGCUGGAUUCUCGCUUCUUCCUGAAAGCUGUUGGAUAAAUAUGUGUUCUCUUAGUUAUGGAAGUACCAUUCUGUUGUGAUUCCCCAGCCCCCUCACCUAGUGCCCCAAACAGGAUUCCAGUCUUGAGGCCUCUCUGCCCUUCUGUAUAGUAGCCCCCGUGCCAGGCACGGCUGGUGAGAACUCGGACACUUGAAUGGUUUUUCCCCCCGCUUCUUAGGAUAUAUGUGUAGUAGUCACUCUUUAAAAUUCCCACAUUGGAGAAAAGGACCUGAGGCUUGGGGUCAUGCCACACCCUGGUGUGGGCCUGACAGUCCUGUGGAAGGACCACAAAAGCUUUUCACCGUUAAGACCGGCCCUCAGCAAACCCUCUGUCCGUGGAGGAUCCCUUUUAGCUCUCCAGCAAGUAGUAGAGAUUUCACGUGAGUUUGGUACCCCAGUCUCUCUUCCCUAUGACCUUCCCUGCCAGGGGCAGCUGCUGGACUAUUUUUAGCGUGAUCCCCUCUUCGUCUUCCUGAAAACAGUCCAUAUUGACCUCUUAGAUCCCAGUAUUGGUCACCAAUUGUUGCCUUAGCCUCCUUUAUUUCAAGCACACAGUAGGUCUCCUGGUAGCAAUAAGGCUUGGAUCAAGGGCUCAGGGAGGCAGGGGAGUCCUGACUCUCAUUCUUAGUGAGUGGUGUCUCUUCUCCUCCUUCUAGGUAGCCCAGAGAUAAGAUGGAUGCUUUCUCCCAGGAAGGGAGGAAAUGCCUGGUCCGGGAUCACAGAAAAAGCUAAGGUUCCCUGCCCCUUAGUGGGCAGGGGGCUAGUGAGGGAGCCCUGGCCCCUUCCAGGGUGAGCUGUCCUAAGUGACCAUGGGGAACCAGCAGUGCAGAUUCAGUGCCCUGCAAGGCAGAAGACCCUAUUGUGCUUCCCGGGAUUGACUUUGGAGACUCCCCUCUAGGCAGAGGGCCGUGUCGCCUGCUGCAUGGUGCUGGGAGGAGGAGCCUCACCAUCUAUCUACAUUCGAAUGGCGAAGAAACCAUGGCACAAAAAGGCAAUGAUGUCCAAUACUCACCGUCUCUCAGCUGGUGUGAGGUUGGGCCAGGAUGAAACCCAAGGCUCUCCGAGGCUCCCCACCACACCCUGCUGCUGAAGACUGCCUAGCAAGGCUGUGCCAAGUGUUGGAGAGGUAGUGUGGGUGGGCAAGGGAUGAAUUGACUAGUUAUAAGCAUCUCCCAGCAAUACUUGAGAUCUCAGCUAUUUAGUGGCCCAGUCCCUUUGAAGGGCAGGGUCAAAAUUAGGUGUAGGCACUUAUUCGAAGAGGAUUAUGAAAAUGCUAUUAUUAACCUGAUGCAAAGAGGGCCUUAUUCAUCUGUAAUUAAAUUAUAAGUAGGGGUAGUGGGGGGCUAUGGUUUGUGUGAGUGGGUAUCGAGCUAGAGAGCUUGGAAUUUUUCAGGGCUCUGGUGAGCUUCCCGAUGAUAAGUGUCAGCUCUGAGAGACUGGGACUUAAAGCUGAGGACAGAGACCUCCUAAGGCAGCCCCCUCAUACUAGGGAUGUGCUCUAUACUAACCACUUUAUGGUGUGGGAACCCCAAACCCCCUCCCCAGACAUACACUUAGAACCUGAGCUUCCUUUCAUCUCAAGUAGCCACCUGGGAGAGAGAAAUGUAAACCAAACUGUCUGAGAGACGUUUCUGUGUCAUAGAGAGGGGAACCAAACAUCCCUCAAAGAGACAUCGCACUCCCACAAACUUUCCUGGUUAUUGCUUUGGUUGCAAGACACCUGUCUGCUUGUCAGAGCUGUAUUCAACAGGAGAACAAGGGCAGCUUCCCUUCCUUCAGAGGGAGAUGCAGAUGGGGAGAGGGGAGUGCAGAAGGGACUCUGAGAAAGAAGCAGAAAGUGGAGUUCUGCAUCGGAUAGGAGUUGGGCCACUUAAGAUUUGUGCCAACUCACGGUGCGGUGGAAAUGGUCUGAAAUCUUCAAAGAGCAGCCAAGAGUCUGUGGCGCCCCCAAGUGCCACAAGGGGGCUGCUUGGGCUACAGGGCUGCUUGGGCUAUAGCUUUUGCGUUCCUAAAUGAGGAGGGGGGAGACAUGAAGAGGGGACCUACUCUUUAGCUUUCUGCAGCGGCAGCGCAGCGCUUUUAACCGCAGCGGAUGCAGAGG